rnacentral:lncRNA from 1 species
GAAGCUCAAGUUCACCAUGAGCCACGCAGUAAGCCAUGCUUUAGCCUCUGACCUGUGCUCCAAUUUUGGUACAAUGAUUUCUGCCAUGUUCUCCAACAGGGUGAGGAAACAGACAGCACUAAGAGAAAAAGCUGGAACUCAAAACCAAAUUAACUCCAAACUUAAGUUUUCCCACUUCGACAAGGAUGUAUGUCAUAAAAGUUGGAUGCCUUCCUUUUAAGACAUUUGAAUGGAUCACCAAAUAAUUACCUACUUUUCUCUCACAACUCAGAUAAAUAAUUAAAAGGAGAUAUACACAGA